ensembl:lncRNA
UACGUUAUCCUGAUCCUCAGUGUUUACCGCACGCUGAAUGAAUUAGCUGAAUUACAAUCAUCAGAACAAAGAGACGCCGUCAGGGUCGUUACCGUGGCGCAAAUUUUCAUUUAUCUAACUGGAUGCGAACAAAUCCGUGCGUAAAUCAUCUAUACGAGAGAGUUUACACAGAAAAUUUCAUAUUCAAAUCAAUCCUGUAAAUUCGGAACAACCUUCGUAGCCUACUCGUGCUGUCUGAGAGUCACCUGACACAGGAUUUAGCACUCCAUCAUUAUUAUUAUUAUCAUUAUUAUUAUUAUACACUAUUAAAUAUGUUUAUUGGCAUAGUCAUGAAUCAAACGCUGUAGUCACCGUAUAUUUCAUGCUGAUCCCAGCCGUCUGGACUUUUGUGGGCGUCACUAAAUGCAAACGAGUUGCGUCGGGAACGCACUUCGCACUUUUUACAGUUGAUCAACAUACGCACACGAAAACGGACAAAAAAAACAGCGUACCCAACAGAAAUCCGGCACAGUAGACAAAAAUAAAAAUAUCUUUCUAAACCCAUAUUCGGACGGGGUUAGUUUCCCAUGUGGACACGUGUAACGUGGUGUAUUUCACCACUAAGCCACUGCGCCUGUAAAAAAGGUUUAGAACGCUGAGCAACACUGCACCAGCCAGAGUGUCGUUAUACUGAACAUCAGCACGGCCGUGAUUGGUCCGCGGGGUCCAAGUGGUGUAGCUAAUAACAUCCACGCUGAUAUGACCGCAUGAUCGCGCAUGCCAUAUUGCUUUUACGCAACAGUCCUAUAAACAAGAAACAAACAUCAAGUGACAUUUCGGACACGAAUACGGUUCUGUUCGUUUUCGCUCCGCUGGCUGAUCCCGAAUAAGCUGCGCUCACUUUAGAGCACGCUGGCUAGCUUGCUAGCUCGCUUACACCGAUUUGUACCUUCACGUUAAAGGUGCUUCCGGUGAAGCCGGCGUCCCUUCUUCCUUUUCAUCGUCAACCCACGAGCUUCCGUAUUUCAAGCGGAAAGUCGAAUCUGUCAUGUCCGCCGAUGAUGGCGCUAACUCUACUGUAGUAACGGGACAGAUGCGUAAAGGGGCGCGUCGGAGACGCGACGACUCCGUGGGGUUUUUAGGCGAGUUACUUUUGAUGCGGUGUAUGAACACGUUAUGGUCACGCGACCGACCUUCGUAAUGAUCGGCCACGCCCCCUACCACAAUCGCUUAUAAUAAAGAUCUACACGACCCGUGUGUAUUAAAUUGAGGUGUGCGUAGUGCGUAGGGAACUGUUUGCACGUCAUGAAGCGUGCCACACCCAUCUCGCUGAGGCAUUUCUACAGAGAUCAGGUGCGAUAUGACCAGGUGCGAUAUGACCAGGUGCGAUAUGACCAGGUGCGAUAUGACCAGGUGCGAUAUGACCAGGUGCGAUAUGACCAGGUGCGAUAUGACCAGGUGUGAUAUGACCAGGUGCGAUAUGAUCAUUCGCGAUAUGACCAGGUGCGGUAUGAUCAGGUGCGAUAUGACCAGGUGCGAUAUGAUCAUUCGCGAUAUGACCAGGUGCGAUAUGACGGUAAAAACACAGUAUAUCACGGUAUUUCUACGAUAAAGAAGAACAAUAAUAAGUGGACUGGAAGUGGGUUUUUGUACCGAAAUGUCUGAUUUAUGUUAUUUCUGUUCAAAUAAGUACAGACGUCCUCAGUGACCCGACACCCCGCCGUCUCUCUCUCUCUAUCGCUUUUCCUCCUUCUCUUUCCCUCCUUUUCCUGCAUAUCCGCCUCUUUGUUGACACACAAACAAACAGCCGACCCUGACACACACACACAAUGUGUGUAUUUUUAGUCCCGAUGACGCAGUGUGUCUGGAGUGGAAUGAAGAAAGAACAACAAACUGAAGGAGUGUAUCGUUUCAGCAUCACUGAACCUCGGGAGCUGGGUAAUGCAACUGAAACUAACACACACCCCUACACGCUUCGUUUAACGGUUCCUUGGAAGACCUCAAAUACAGGUUUGUGCGUCCCGAGAUGUUUUCGAUACCGCUAUAAGAUGCGUGUGAGGAGAUAAAACUUUGUGGUGGUGUAGUUGAACAGUUCCUUUGAAAGCCCUACAUACCUUUGCAGAUUUACACAACGACUUCCGAGACGUUUUCUCAGUAAGAAGCGUGUCAUAUGAAUCGAGGAGGAUCCCGUCCUUCGAGAAUGAGCUGCAGCGUGACGACCAAAACUUCGCUGCUAUUUAAUCUACACCGUGCGAUUUGGGACCAGGCCGUGGAUCGGUCCCGUGCCGUACACACGUCUGAUAGAGGAUCAGGAUCUGAAAUAUUCAAACACCAAACAUCAUUCCAAGUCUACUCUCAGGUCCAAAAUCCCGGUGGGUUUGGGACACGCCCAAGGUGGACUGAUGAUGAUGGGGGUUUUUGUGGCCCAUAUAGUGAACAGGUAGAAUGCCCGUAGGUGCCUUACGAGCGAAAGAAUACGGUGUGCAGUUUGGGACUCAUCCAUAAGCACCUCAUAUGUGAAUUAACAGGUUGUGUGGUUUGAGACACGCCCAUAGGCGCCGUACACGCUGAAUAACAGAGUAUGCAGGUUUUUACAUCUGCAUAGAGAUAUACCUGCUUCCUUUUGAAGACUUCCACACACGGACUUAAAGACACGCCCACAUUUCCAUUGCUGUCUUCAGGACACGCCCACACAGACCUGUUCUUUCGUAUGAAGUGUUGGUUAGACACUGAAAUCUUUUACACGACAAAGAGUUCACGGUGUUGACCCGACCUCCGAAUUCCCCAGAUCUCGAUCCGAUCCAGCGUCUGCGAGACGUCCCGGACGAACAAGUCCGAUC